UGGCGGCAGGCCUAACACAUGCAAGUCGAGCGGUAACAUUUCUAGCUUGCUAGAAGAUGACGAGCGGCGGACGGGUGAGUAACGCGUAGAAAUCUACCUAGUAGUGGGGGAUAGCCCAGAGAAAUUUGGAUUAAUACCGCAUACGCCCUACGGGGGAAAGCGGGGGAUCUUCGGACCUCGUGCUAUUAGAUGAGUCUGCGUCGGAUUGGCUUGUUGGUGAGGUAAUGGCUCACCAAGGCGACGAUCCGUAGCUGGUCUGAGAGGAUGACCAGCCACACUGGAACUGAGACACGGUCCAGACUCCUACGGGAGGCAGCAGUGGGGAAUAUUGCACAAUGGGCGCAAGCCUGAUGCAGCCAUGCCGCGUGUGUGAAGAAGGCCUUAGGGUUGUAAAGCACUUUCAGCAGUGAGGAAAGGGGUGUCGUUAAUAGCGCCAUCCUGUGACGUUAACUGCAGAAGAAGGACCGGCUAACUCCGUG
rnacentral:rRNA from 1 species